CCUCACUGAAAGAAAGACCUGGGGGUGCUGGAGCGUGUCCAGAGAGGAACAAGGAAGCUGCUGAAAGGUCUAGAGCACAAGUCUUAUGAGGAGCGGCUGAGGGAACUGGGGCUGUUUAGUCUGGAGAAAAGGAGGCUGAGAGGAGACCUCAUCGCUCUC